AUUACGCGACAGGGGAGCGGAGCGUAACUCGCCGAAACUAAACAGAAACCCCAAGUUUCUCAAGUUUCAGCGACGAAGCAAAAAACACCGCUGAGAGUGCGCACAGCGCAGACCCUCGAACCUGAUACGGUUAGCACCGACGCAGGAAGUCGACUCUCAAAGUGG
rnacentral:ncRNA from 1 species